GUCGUGAGAUGUUGGGUUAAGUCCCGCAACGAGCGCAACCCUUGUCAUUAGUUGCUACAUUCAGUUGGGCACUCUAAUGAGACUGCCGGUGACAAACCGGAGGAAGGUGGGGAUGACGUCAAGUCCUCAUGGCCCUUAUGGGUAGGGCCUCACACGUCAUACAAUGGCGGAUACAGAGGGUUGCCAACCCGCGAGGGGGAGCCAAUCCCAGAAAGUCCGUCGUAGUCCGGAUCGGAGUCUGCAACUCGACUCCGUGAAGUCGGAAUCGCUAGUAAUCGCGGAUCAGCAUGUCGCGGUGAAUACGUUCCCGGGUCUUGUACACACCGCCCGUCACACCAUGGGAGCGGGUUUCACCAGAAGUAGCUAGCCUAACCGCAAGGGGGGCGGUUACCACGGUGAGAUUCGUGACUGGGGUGAAGUCGUAACAAGGUAGCCGUAUCGGAAGGUGCGGCUGGAUCACCUCCUUUCUAGAGAAGGCGUUCUUGAAGAACGCGCAAGCAUCCACACUCAUCGGUUGUUCACAAACAGCAGGCGCUAGGCACUGGGCGCUAGGCAUUAGGGGAUUAAGCCUCAUGCCUCGAGCCUCGAGCCUCGGGCCUGGAGAAACUCCGGGUCUGUAGCUCAGUUGGUUAGAGCACCGUCUUGAUAAGGCGGGGGUCGUUGGUUCAACUCCAACCAGACCCACCAGAACAUGGGGGUGUAGCUCAGCUGGGAGAGCACCUGCUUUGCAAGCAGGGGGUCAUCGGUUCGAUCCCGUUCACCUCCACCAUUGACUGCAAGUCGAGUUGGCGCACGAGAAAUUGGAAAGGCUAGAACCAAGCGAAUGGACGUUUGCUUGGUUCUGGUUUUUUAUAAAGCCAGGGGCUGUUUGAUCUUUAACAAUACGGAAGAAGUACAACCACAUUGCUUGCAGGAUUGGAGUGAUGUGGCUGGGUUAGAUUGUAUGUAUCGCCUAUUCCCAUUGAAGAGUUCGGUGGGGGUAGGAGCAACACAAGCGCUGAAGUAAAAAACCUGUGGCGUUGGGCCUUUGAAGUUAGUCGCUUCGAGGGGACAAGGUUAUAGGAUCAAGUGAAUAAGUGCAUGUGGUGGAUGCCUUGGCGAUUACAGGCGAUGAAGGACGUGGCAGCCUGCGAAAAGCUGCGGGGAGCUGGCAAACGAGCUUUGGUCCGCAGAUAU
rnacentral:sRNA from 1 species